UUCCGAAGUGAGCUCUUGCCUUGAUAAA
rnacentral:sRNA from 1 species